rnacentral:rRNA from 1 species
GACGAACGCUGGCGGCGUGCUUAACACAUGCAAGUCGAACGGAAAGGCCUUGCUUUUGUUGGGGGCUGGGGUGGCUCACGGGUGGAAAACGCGAGAGAAACCUGCCUUUUCUUUUGGGAAAUCUUCAGUAAACUGGGGCAACUACCUCUAAUUCCCUCUUGCUGCAUGGUGGGGGUUGGAAAGUUUCGGCGGUUGGGGUUGGAGUCGCGGCUUAGCAGCCUGUUGGUGGGGUAGUGGCUUACCAAGGCUUCGACGGAUAGCCGGCCUGAGAGGGUGACCGGCCACAUUGGGACUGAGAUACGGCCAAGAAUCCUGCGGGAGGCAGGAGUGGGGAAUAUUGCACUAUGGGCGGAAGCCUGAGGCAGCAACGCCGCGUGCGGGAUGACGGCCUUCGGGUGGUAGACCGCUUUCGCCUGUGACGGAGCGUGAGUGACGGUAAUGGGUAAAGAAGCACCGGCUAACUACGUG